UACGUAGGGUGCAAGCGUUAAUCGGAAUUACUGGGCGUAAAGCGUGCGCAGGCGGCUUUGCAAGUCAGAUGUGAAAUCCCCGGGCUUAACCUGGGAAUGGCAUUUGUGACUGCACGGCUAGAGUGUGUCAGAGGGGGGUAGAAUUCCACGUGUAGCAGUGAAAUGCGUAGAUAUGUGGAGGAAUAUCGAUGGCGAAGGCAGCCCCCUGGGAUAACACUGACGCUCAUGCACGAAAGCGUGGGGAGCAAACAGG
rnacentral:rRNA from 1 species